rnacentral:lncRNA from 1 species
CAAUUAUCAUUUCCAUUCUGUAUCUACAGGUUUAUCUUAAGAAAGAAGUGAUGGAAGGAUGAAGGAGGAACACUGGUAGGGAGGAGAAAAGCUGAAAGAGAAGAUCAGAGGUGGUAAAAGAUAAAGGGGGGGGCAAACCUCCAGAGGCCUGUAUCCUGUCAAUGCCAGGGCUUACAGAAAUCAGCCAGACUCUGGUUACUCUGGUUCUUACCCUGGGUGCAAUUCAGCCACUCAAAUAGCACUUGGUGACGGAUAUCAAUGAAUAGCAUUGAGUGAUAGAUACAAAUACAUGGACGUUAUGGGGACAGUGCUCAUAUAGUAAAAUAUGGAUAUGUGCUUGAUGAAACCCUAAUGCUGAUCAAAUGAAGCCAGCAGCAGAGUUUUCCUUCAUUUUUAGGGCAGGGUUUGACACUUGCCUUUACUGAAUCUCCGCUCCUACUUCACUAACUGCACUAGGUCAGCAGUCCCCAGACUCUUCACAAAGCAAGAGACUGGAAUUAGGCUGCUGUGGGAAAAGUGUGACAGAGUCGUAUGAACAAAGUAAAAAUGUAAGAAUGAGGAAGGAAGAGAAAAGGCAAAGGGUAAGAGAAAAACAGAAUGAUAUUCUCAUAAUUAAAAUGAGUAGGACAACAUAAAGUAGAAUUUUUAUCAUUUAACAUAUACAGUCUUUAAAUGAAUGUGUCAUCCUUUCAGGGGGCUUCAUAGAUUGUGGAAAAGUUUGAAUGGGCAAAUUUCCAUGAGCAAAGGUACCAACCAUGUUUCCAAAGCCUUCCCUUUCUGCUGCUUCAAUUAUCCUGCAAUUAAAAAAACGAAAAUAAAACAAGAACCAACAGGCAGUAGCAACUGCACAUCAACAGAAAACCUGGAUGUGGUUUUUUUUAAACAUUAGAAGGAAGAACUAGCAAAGGACUAUCAAACCAGUCCUUUAAAAAGCAGUGUAAAUAUAUUUUAAUAAA